GUGGAUUAGAUACCCUGGUAGUCCACGCCCUAAACGAUGUCAACUAGGUGUUGGGUGGGUAAAACCAUUUAGUACCGUAGCUAACGCGUGAAGUUGACCGCCUGGGGAGUACGGCCGCAAGGUUAAAACUCAAAGGAAUUGACGGGGACCCGCACAAGCGGUGGAUGAUGUGGAUUAAUUCGAUGCAACGCGAAAAACCUUACCUACCCUUGACAUGUCAGGAACCCUGGUGAGAGCUGGGGGUGCCCGAAAGGGAGCCUGAACACAGGUGCUGCAUGUCUGUCGUCAACU
rnacentral:rRNA from 1 species